GAUGAACGCUGGCGGCGUGCCUAAUACAUGCAAGUCGAGCGAACAUACGAGGAGCUUGCUCCUCUGACGUUAGCGGCGUACGGGUGAGUAACACGUGGAUAACCUACCUAUAAGACUGGGAUAACUUCGGGAAACCGGAUCUAAUACCGGAUAAUAUAUUGAACCGCAUGGUUCAAUAGUGAAAGACGGUUUUGCUGUCCCUUAUAGAUGGAUCCUCGCCGCAUUAGCUAGUUGGUAAGGUAACGGCUUACCAAGGCGACGAUGCGUAGCCGACCUGAGAGGGUGAUCGGCCACACUGGAACUGAGACACGGUCCAGACUCCUACGGGAGGCAGCAGUAGGGAAUCUUCCGCAAUGGGCGAAAGCCUGACGGAGCAACGCCGCGUGAGUGAUGAAGGUCUUCGGAUCGUAAAACUCUGUUAUUAGGGAAGAACAAAUGUGUAAGUAACUAUGCACGUCUUGACGGUACCUAAUCAGAAAGCCACGGCUAACUACGUG
rnacentral:rRNA from 1 species